UACGAAGGGGGCUAGCGUUGUUCGGAAUCACUGGGCGUAAAGCGCACGUAGGCGGAUGUGCCAGUCAGGGGUGAAAUCCUGGAGCUCAACUCCAGAACUGCCUUUGAUACUGAAGAUCUUGAGUUCGGGAGAGGUGAGUGGAACUGCGAGUGUAGAGGUGAAAUUCGUAGAUAUUCGCAAGAACACCAGUGGCGAAGGCGGCUCACUGGCCCGAUACUGACGCUGAGGCACGAAAGCGUGGGGAGCAAACAGG
rnacentral:rRNA from 1 species